rnacentral:misc_RNA from 1 species
GGAAGUAAAAGUCGUAACAAAGGUCUCCGUUGGUGAACCAGCGGAGGGAUCAUUACAGAGUUGCAAAACUCCCAAACCAUUGUGAACGUUACCUAUCCCGUUGCUUCGGCGGGCGGCCCGGGCCCCGCGCCCGGCGCCCCCCGGCCCCCCGUGGGCGCCCGCCGGAGGUAAACCAAACCCUUGAAUUGCAUGGCCUCUCUGAGUCUUCUGUACUGAAUAAGUCAAAACUUUCAACAACGGAUCUCUUGGUUCUG